CAGUCGCCGCGGUAAAACGUAGGGUGCGAGCGUUAAUCGGAAUUACUGGGCGUAAAGCGGGCGCAGACGGUUACUUAAGCAGGAUGUGAAAUCCCCGGGCUCAACCUGGGAACUGCGUUCUGAACUGGGUGACUAGAGUGUGUCAGAGGGAGGUAGAAUUCCACGUGUAGCAGUGAAAUGCGUAGAGAUGUGGAGGAAUACCGAUGGCGAAGGCAGCCUCCUGGGACAACACUGACGUUCAUGCCCGAAAGCGUGGGUAGCAAACAGGAUUAGAUACCCCGGUAGUCCCUGUCUCUUAUAA
rnacentral:rRNA from 1 species